CCUAAAAUUUGAAGCAAAUAUCCUUCCACCAUUUUAGUCUCAGCCGCAAGUGUGAAACGCUUCCCCUCUCCACCGUUUCUAGCUUUACCGAUUUGCUCUCAGAACCUCUGCCCAUACUUCGAUCACGGCGAAGGGAGCAGAGAUCUGACGGCCUAAAACUGGAAGGUGUACGGGCGUACGAGGGCCAGCUGGGACGUGGCGUGGCUCGUGUGAGGCAUCGCGCGUGGUGGGCACGCGACGGGGAGGCAUGCGGCGCCAAGAGGGUUAAGGAACCCUAGGUUUUUUCAGAUUUGUUUGAUUUUUUGGGCUUGAUUUGGGUUAAGGGUUUUGGGCCUUAUUGGGUUUGUUUAAUUUUGGGCUUGGUUUGUUAAGCAUUGGGUCCGGGCAAAAGUUGGGCCCUACACUCUUUUUUACACAAUUCCUAAAACUACCUAUAACUCCUCUUUAACUUAUAUAUAAAAGGAUAAUGCGCUUCAAUAUACUCAAA